GACGAACGCUGGCGGCGUGCCUAAUACAUGCAAGUCGAGCGAAGCGGCGGAUGGGUGAGUAACGCGUGGGUAACCUGCCCUUAAGUCUGGGAUACCAUUUGGAAACAGAUUCUAAUACCGGAUAAUCACGGAUGGACCUGCGAUGCAUUAGCUAGUUGGUAAGGUAAUGGCUUACCAAGGCGAUGAUGCAUAGCCGAGUUGAGAGACUGAUCGGCCACAUUGGGACUGAGACACGGCCCAAACUCCUACGGGAGGCAGCAGGAGGGAAUCUUCCACAAUGGACGAAAGUCUGAUGCAGCAACGCCGCGUGAGUGAAGAAGUUUUUCGGAUCGUAAAGCUCUGUUGUUGGUGAAGCGGUAAUCAACAAGAAAGUCACGGCUAACUACGUGCCAGCAGCCGCGGUAAUAC
rnacentral:rRNA from 1 species